UUAUUUUACAAAGAGCUCUAGUGUUUGUCGAUCUAUCAUUCUAACAUUUCAUUACUUGUGCGAAACUGUAUUACAUUCACAGUUUUUAAUAGUCAAUAAACAUUCAAUAAUAAUUAAUUUAAAUACAUACUAAUUUUAUAUCAAGUCAAAAAAAAACAGUUUAAUUCUUAUUCAAUUUGUGUUUGUGACAAUUCAUUUUACAACUAAUCAAUUUACAGAUAAUAUGUGUUGUAACGAUCAAAAUCAAACCGUCGAUAAUCACAUUCACAGUUUACGUUUAUUAAAGUUAUAUAAAUUAUUUCUUUACGUUUCAAUAAAUUAUUCACAGAAAUCAUACAGAAGAUCACGCUGCCAUACAAUAUGAUUCCAAACAUAAAGUUAAUAUGUAGAAAAUUAUUAAUACAAUAAUUAUAUUUGAUUUUGAUUUCGCA